rnacentral:lncRNA from 1 species
UGCAAUUCCACUGGGUUUUACAUAUGUCAUUGAUCAAGACCCAUUUCCAUAUUAUUGUUAAUUGCACUAGAGUGAUCAUUUAGAGUCUACAUCCCCAAUCAUAUCCCCAUCAACCCAUGUGAUCAAGCAGUUGUUUUUCUUCUGUGUUUCUGCUCCCACAGUUCUUUCUCUGAAUGUGGAUGGUGUUCUUUCUCAUAAGUCCCUAUGAAUUGCCACAAAGAUUCUUGAAACUGUCAUGAAGAGUUAUGAACAAGAGUCAUCAAAGUUCAGUGGCAAGAAAAAAGUCAAGACUACUGAUGAUGGCCAGGAGGCAGUGGAUGACCUUGGCAUCUUUGAUGUCUGACGAAGCUCUAAGCUUUCUCCAAUGUCUAUUUCAGCUACCUUCAUGGCCACUGGCACGCAUUGUUUUCAUUUAUCCAUUCUGCCAGGGGAAGUCUUCAUGCGCUUGUGGUAGACUUUCCACCAACUCACUGACGGAUUUGAGAGCUGCUGGCUUCCCUCAACUUCGUUUAGUCCAUCCACUGAGAUGGUUUUACUGGGGAGGAAAUGCUGAUUCUACUGCCUGCUGCAAAAUACACAUGAUGUUCUCCUUUGACUGCUUCCUGAUACCCCAGCUGCUGGCUGCAAACCUCUGCAGCCUGCUUGCCGUUUUCUAUGCAUGCUUGCCGUACCAAGUUCUCCAGAAGGGGUAAGUGGAGAGAGGGAAACGCCAGUUACUAAGACAAGGAAGGGUGCCUAGGCUGAGACGCUAACUUGUGUGGAAACCCAGCAUUCCUUCUGGACAACAACCAUCAGGUCCCAGCCAGGAAAGCGCUUGGAGUCCACCCUGUUUCCAAGUUUCUAAGUGCCCUGGAGGGUGUGCAAAUAGAAAUGGGAUACACCUGAACUACAUUUGCCCAGCAUCCUUUUAAGUUACGUCCUCACUUUGCAUCCUGACAUUUGGGAGAGAAAGUUUGCUGAAACCCACGCUGCGGAGCUUUCUGGGUUUUUGCUUUGGUAAAGCGCUGCAGGUGAGAGUCUGGCUCUGUGCUCUACUCACUCGGCAGAAGGAACACCGUUCUCUCUCUCUCUUUGUUGUUAUUAAAUCCUAUA